rnacentral:lncRNA from 1 species
GGGGGCCUGCUUGAGAAAGGGGAACAGCACCUGACUUGGGUGGGGGAGCACAGGCAGCUCUGCCUCUCUUCUGCAAGGUGCCAUGCAUGGUUUGGGCAGGAUUUGCCUUCCAUCUGUCCACUGACCUCUCAGGGAUGCGCCUUCUAUUUAUGACAUGGAAUUUUCAAUAAAUCACUAACUUCAUCUUGAGUUCCAUAAGGAGAAGGCUUUCCUGCAAUAGAAGCUCUUGUCUCCACUGCACAGGCCCUGCAGACUUCUUCCUGGUGUCAGUGUGAGUUGAUUCUACUUGCUUCUUUGGAGAAUGUUUUGACUUUCUCCCCACUGUUGUUCACCUCUGCCAACCUGUUCUAUGUGAUAACUAACAAAAAAGGAAUAAUAAAUAACCCUUGCAACAUGAGACAGUUAUUCAGAUUGUUGCUAAUCUUUCUCAUCAG